GAUUACAAUAGUUAUCAAAGCAUAGUCUCAUCUUGUCUAGCUUGGCCCUUUCGGAUAACACGCGGCUAUCUUACAAUAGAGGGUUCUCAUUGUAUAAAAACUUCAUGUUGAAACAUAAUCUGCUUUAGAUUUUCGAUAUCUCAUCUCUAGUAACUUUUACAUCUUUUUGCCAUCUCAAACUCAGCUAGUCACAUAACACUAUUAAGCGAUAUUUAACAGGUAUUCAACACCACAUGUAUACAU